rnacentral:piRNA from 1 species
UGACAUUAGGGCGCCUCUGAGAUUGCAAUA